rnacentral:rRNA from 1 species
AACGAACGCUGGCGGCAGGCUUAACACAUGCAAGUCGAACGAUAUAGUGGCAGACGGGUGAGUAACGCGUGGGAACGUACCUUUCACUACGGAAUAGCUCCGGGAAACUGGUGGUAAUACCGUAUACGCCCUUAGGGGGAAAGAUUUAUCGGUGAAAGAUCGGCCCGCGUUGGAUUAGCUAGUUGGUGAGGUAAUGGCUCACAAAGGCGACGAUCCAUAGCUGGUCUGAGAGGAUGAUCAGCCACACUGGGACUGAGACACGGCCCAGACUCCUACGGGAGGCAGCAGUGGGGAAUCUUGCACAAUGGGCGAAAGCCUGAUGCAGCCAUGCCGCGUGAAUGAUGAAGGCCUUAGGGUUGUAAAAUUCUUUCGUCAGGGAUGAUAAUGACCGUAC